GUGUCUCUUCCACCUCCUGAUACAGAUGAACCCUGCUCAAGCCGGGUAACCAACGUGCCAGCACAAAUUAUUUCCCAUCCGUCCUCUGCCUACUGAAUCAAAAUACAUGCAUACAUAUAUGGAUGUAUAUGUAUGUUAAAUUUUCUGAGAUGUAUUUCUUAAUUCUCUAAU
rnacentral:lncRNA from 1 species